UGACAGCAGCCGGAAACAGUCAUAGGAC
rnacentral:piRNA from 1 species